UUUGGCCAAUCCACUCCGCGUCUUCUGCAACCAAUCGCCCAAUCCCUUCCUCGCCUCAGUCCCGUGCCAACCGCCGCCCAAACCCUAGCCCCCGUUUCCCUCGAUCCCCACAGUAACCGCACCAAACCUAGCCCCCCAUCCACAGCCACCCGCUCCUUCUCACAGCCGCCACACCAUUCCUCCCUUCCGCCCCCUCCUCCUUCCCGGAUCCCCACCACGGCACCGACCUGCAGGCAAAGGGCGACGAAGAGUGGCAGACGAGGACAACGAGGGAGAGAAAGAAGGAAGAUAAAAAGGAGGCCGGCGGCGAGGCCCACCGACUAGCGCCUCUCCGCCUCAACCCCAUGCAUCACUGGCACCAGAUAAAGGGCGACGACUGCGGUGCUCGAGCAGAUGAGAGGGAGUGAGAGGUAGGUGCAGCAAGGCGACAGACGGGAGAGGGGCGAGGGCGAGCUCCAGCGCGAGCGCGUGGACCUGUCACCCACGCCAGCGAGGUCCUCGGCCCCGAGCUACACCUCUACAACCGCGAAGGCAAAUGCUGCGACCACGCUCGGUUUUGUUCAGUGCGCACACACACUGUGCCGUCUCCAGGUGCCAGUUGAACUUACUGCUGGGCUUUAUUGCCCUCCUCCGAUUUGGUGUUGUGGGAGAAAGAAGAAGAGCAGGCAUGUUCUCUGUUUCUACAUCCAGCGUCCACACGGCUAGAUCGACGGGUCUAAACUCUUGAAUACAGAAAGAAUAAGCUACUAGCAUUCCUAAUGUGCAAGUAAACCUACUGGGAUUACGACUGCAAAAAAAAUUCAUGAAACAUGUUGAAGUAUGGCCUUGAAAGGUAAGUUGGAUGGUUGGAGAUGCUCAAAAGAUGUAACAAAGAGAGAAGAUAAGAGGGGGAAAGAGAAGGAGAACAGGGAGUGCUUGAUUCGAUCUGCAGAGAGUGAGAGAGAGAGAGAGAGAAGAUAAGAGGGAGAGAGAGAAGGAAGGAGAUGAGGGAGAACUCUGUUGCCGCCGCGUGCCGUACUUCUGGAUCGAGCGCUGCCUGACCAAGGGAUAAGAGUAGAAGGUAAAAACCCUAGCCACAAUGCUCCCGUGCGGGCUGCAUCCCCGCAUCUCCCGUUUCAUUAUUUCACCAUCGCUGCCUCUUCUCCUCUUCGUUGCUCUGCUUCUUCCCCUGAUUCCUCUUUUUCGUUUUUUCUCUUUGUGGUGCCGCCGAGGAUGAGUGGAGCACCUGCUGAAGCAGGCACUAGUGCGCUGCUGGCGAAGCGGUGGUCAACGGUGUCGUUGACAACGUCCUUGGCAGAAGGCAGGGAUCAACUUUGGUGGCAUCCGAUGCUGGCAGGCCAUGGGGUUAGAGCAGAGGAAGCUGACAUGGUGUUUGAAAUCAGAUGGUCAUUGUGAUCGACCAGAUGCUGCGCCUCAUGUCACCCCGAGCCUCAAGGGCUUGUUAGCAUCAUAAAGACCUGCAAGUGCAUGGCCCACUGCUAAUAGUCCUACAAACGACCGGAAUUGUUGCUGUUUUGACUUUAUCUGCUACAUGGUCUCUAUGUUUUCCUGUUGCUUCAUUCAGUAUGUCCACGUCAAACUAGAAAUUACAUGCAUUUGAAUGAUGAUAGCUUAGCACUCGAUGAUAAAUGUGAUGUUGUUUUAUGUUAAUGUGAAACCCGAUCUAUCGGUUGUUAGUUUGAA